CCUACGGGUGGCUGCAGUGGGGAAUAUUGGACAAUGGGGGCAACCCUGAUCCAGCCAUGCCGCGUGUGUGUAGAAGGCCCUCGGGUUGUAAAGCACUUUCAGUGAGGAAGAACGCCUGGUGGUUAAUACCCAUCAGGAAAGACAUCACUCACAGAAGAAGCACCGGCUAACUCCGUGCCAGCAGCCGCGGUAAUACGGAGGGUGCGAGCGUUAAUCGGAAUUACUGGGCGUAAAGCGCGCGUAGGUGGCUUGAUAGCCGGUUGUGAAAGCCCCGGGCUCAACCUGGGAACGGCAUCCGGAACUGUCAAGCUAGAGUGCAGGAGAGGAAGGUAGAAUUCCCGGUGUAGCGGUGAAAUGCGUAGAGAUCGGGAGGAAUACCAGUGGCGAAGGCGGCCUUCUGGACUGACACUGACACUGAGGUGCGAAAGCGUGGGUAGCAAACAGGAUUAGAUACCCCAGUAGUC
rnacentral:rRNA from 1 species